UCACCCGGAUAAUUCACUGAUUUUUGCAACCAAGAAUUGGCUGUCUCAAGGGUAUUUGCUUGUAAACAGGAGAGACGAAAGGAUUGGCUGUCUGUUAAACGGCAAUGAUUGGUGAUGUGAGGAUUGUCUUCGUUGUUUCUCAUCUACGAUAACGAGUCUAUCCAUUGGUUAGCUUGCUGGUGGUAGUGGUGGUGGUGGUGGAGCAGACAGAGCAGUCAAAGAAGCGGCCAUGGAGAUGGUUGCCUGGUGCCAUGGGAGGUCUACCUUCCUGCUUCUCCCUCGCUUUCCGUCCAGAAACUACAUAAACUCUCUGUACACGAGAAACUCGUCUUCUUCAUCGUCAUCAUCUUCACUAUCAUCUUCUUCUUCUUCCUCAAUCUGUGUGUGCCACCGUCCAUGGCGUGGUCGAGAUGGGGUCCAUCAUCGGUCGGCCAGGAGGCGCAUUGCCGCCUUCGCCUCCUCAUCUGCACAGAACCGGCAGGAUACCCAAGUGGGAUACGGGGCUCCUGAACCCACCGAGGAGGACCUUGAAUGCGUUUCUCAGAUCAAGAGGGUUUUGGAGCUCCUGAGGAAGAACAGAGACAUGUCGUUCGGUGAGGUUAAGCUAACGAUCAUGAUUGAAGAUCCAAGAGAAGCUGAAAGAAGGCAGACUCUAGAACUUGAUGAUCCAGAUUAUGUAACCAGGGAGGAAAUAGUUGCUGCUCUGGAAGAUGUUAACAAGGGAAGGAUUCCUGAAGACCGUUCUGCCCUUCGUAAGCUUGCUGAUGAAUUGAUUCAGUGGCCUAAUCUUGAGAGCUACGGACGUGACUGGAGACGUGGAGCAAACAGCCGGCGCGCGGACAGCGGACGUCCAUACAUCUGGCGACGUGAAGCACACAGCCGGCGCGCGGACGUGACGCACACCGUCGGCGAUCCUCCGUCUCCUUUCAGGUUGAAGCAACAAAGAAGAAGCCUAGAAAAUCAUUGUAUGCAAAAGCAACCGACACUGGCAUUGACCCUGUAUUAGCUGCUAAAAGGCUCAAUAUUGACUGGGAUACAGCAGCAGAGAUUGAAUCUGAUGAAGAUAAUGAUGAAACUGAUGUGCCUCCAGCAGUGGGAUAUGGUGUCCUGUACUUGGUGACUGGUCUCCCUAUUAUUAUUGGCAUAUCAGUUGUGCUGAUUCUAUUCUAUAAUUCGUUGCAGUAGGAAAGUCCACGCUGGUUUGGUGCUACAAUCUGGUCGCAGCUAAUGAUUGGUUGACAGCUUAGGAAGCAUAUGCAUCACUAUGUGGAGAUGAUUUGUAUGCCUGUUGUUCAUAAUACUAUGUACAUCAUGUGUGCAAAACACUGGAUUCAUUUUCUUUUCCUUGAUCCAUCCUACUGUACCACCUCUCUCUUGAAACAAUUUUUUGCAGCAGCAAUGUACAUGAGGUUGACAAGUUCUAGAUUAUCAAUGUUAAUAUUUUUGUAGAAUUGAAACAA